rnacentral:rRNA from 1 species
GAUGAACGCUGGCGGCGUGCCUAACACAUGCAAGUCGAGCGGCAGCGAGGGGUGCUUGCACCCUGUCGGCGAGCGGCGGACGGCUGAGUAACGCGUGAGAACGUGCCCCAAAGUGAGGAAUAACUGCCCGAAAGGGUAGCUAAUACCGCAUAUUAUCUUCGGAUCAAAGGAUUUAUCCGCUUUGGGAGCGGCUCGCGUCGGAUUAGGUAGUUGGUGAGGUAAUGGCUCACCAAGCCGACGAUCCGUAGCUGGUCUGAGAGGAUGACCAGCCAGACUGGAACUGAGACACGGUCCAGACUCCUACGGGAGGCAGCAGUGAGGAAUCUUCCACAAUGGGCGAAAGCCUGAUGGAGCAACGCCGCGUGCAGGACGAAGGCCUUCGGGUUGUAAACUGCUUUUAUAAGUGAGGAAUAUGACGGUAACUUAUGAAUAAGGAUCGGCUAACUACGUG